CGGCGGCGGCGGCGGCGGGGAGCCGGCGGCCAGGGCCCCGCGGGGCGCACAGCACCGGGCUCGCUGACCCCGCAGCGGAGGGGAAAUCCCAUGGCUUCACCGUGCCUCGGCCGGGGCCUGCGGCGGGAGCCCGGACUCGUCAAAAGGUCACCGCUGCUGCCGAGCCGGGCUCUCUGGGGAGGGGCGCGGAGAGGGGCCCUCCCGGUCCCCCCCAACCCGGCUCAGCUCCAGGCACGGGAGGCUCCUGACUGCCUAGAACACGUGUAGGCAGGUGCAGGAUUAGGCCUGGACGCUUGGCCUUGCCUGGCUUCCAGGUCAGAGCCUGAGUUUAUUUGAGAAGGGGGAAGUAGUGCAGUGCAGCAGAGAGCUACUCACAGGGCACUCAGGGAGCAGGAGAGGGCCCAUAAGGGAAAGCAAAGUCAUUGUCCUUGUAGGAUUUAGUCUGAAAACUGACUGCUCAAAUGGGCUGCUUCUUACCAAAAAGACUGUUACCUACCUUUCCGUAGCUGCUGUUCUUUGAGAAGGGUUGCACAUGUCCACGCUGUAGGCAUGUGCCUGUUUUGGGCAGUCGAGAGAGAACCUUUUUCAGGGCUGGAGGGGCACUGCCUGCCACUGCCAGCAGUCUAAGAUUCCCCUAGAGACGGGAAGGAAGGUAGCUGGUGGAAUGGACACAUGCAGCACAUUUCAAAGAACAACACAGUGGAAAGGUGCAAUAGAUAAUCCAGUCGGGUUAAUGGAAGCCUGCACUGAAGAGACACUUCCCUGCUGAGACCAGGUAGAAAAAUGUUUCCAUUUGGCCAGGUAAGUACACCUUGUUGAAGGCUUUCUCCUAUUCUGAAGCACCUUCUGAACGUCUUUUGAGCAACUCCUUUCUAGUGGUGUUAGCUGGGAAUUUUCCACACAGUUAAAUGGAGGGCCUGUAGGUUGGGGUUGAAUAGACUGCAAUGGUCUGAAAAAUUAUAUCUGAAUCUAAUAGGGGAGGUAGAAGGCCUCACUAAUAGGUUCAAGAACCAGCGUUGUCGAGGCCAUGCUGCUGCUCUUAGAAUGAAGCAAGCAUAUUUGGGCUUGAUCUUGAAUAGGACUCUAGGUAGUAACUGAAUUGGAGGAAAGGCGUCCAGAAGGGAGUUCAUCCGUGAUAGCUGGAAAGCAUCUGUCAAAGACCCAGGGCUGGAACUCCCUCAGCAGCAGAACAGGAGGCAUUUGUUGCAAACAGGUCCAUAUGGGAAGUUUCCCCAGAGCUGAAAGAUGAGCCUACUGACAUCUGGACCUAGUGACCAUUCAUGGUGAGAGGACAAAGACCUGCUCAGGUGAUCUACUGGUGUGUUCUGCUCUCCUGGGAGGUAUCCUUCUGGCACAGUUGGGAGGAACGUGCCCCACCCUGUCUGUUUACAUAAAGCAUAGUUGCUAUAUUGUGCUUUAACACUAAUAGAUUUUUUUCCCCACAAUAUGUGGCUGGAAGGCAGAGCAACUAGAUGGAUAGCACAUAGUUCCCUGACAUUAAUAUGAGUCCUCAGCUCCUGCAAGGACUACUACCAUGAGUUUGCAGGGUUCCGAUAUGUGCUCCCCAACUCAGGGACGAGGCAUCCAUGACCCACGUAAGCGUUGGUUGCAGAGAAACUAAGGGAAAUCCCGCAUAAACGGUCUGAGGGUCUGUCCACUGGUCCAGAGAGGACAAAAUUACCUCUGGAACACAAAUUUCUCUGUCUAGACAAUAACAAAAGGGGGCAUCCUUGAAGCUUCCUGAGGCAUAAUCAGGUGAGUUACAUCAUGUAGGUACCUGCUGCCAUGUGCCCCAGAAGUCUGAGGCAAGCAUGCACUGUAGUAAUGGGAUGUGCUUUUAGAUCCAGUACCAGGUCUCAGAGCAUUUGGAACCUUGACUGAGGCAGAAAUGCUCUGGUUUGUAUAGCAUCCAGGAGUGCUCUGAUAAACUAUUCUUUGCACAGGUUUUUAGAAUUGAUCUGACUUGACUGAGUAAGAAACUCAGUGUAUUGAGGGUGGACUGAAUUAUACCCACACUGGACAGCACUUGAGUGUGCAUCCAGCCUGUCACCAACCAAUCGUCCAGAAGGGGAAUGCAUGGAUUCCCAAUCCCCUUAGAUACACAACUGCCUUACUUUGCACAUUGUGAAAACGCAAGGGGCUGCUGCUGACAGACCAAAUGGAAGUAGUGUAAAUUGGUAAUGUGUUUCAUUUGCUAGGAACAUGAUGAAUUUGCAGUGGUCUCGAGGGAUGACUAUAUGGAAGUAAGCAUCCUUUAAGUCAAGGGCAGCAUACCAGGAGCCCUAUUCAGGGAAGGAAUGAUGCCAGCUAGGGUAACCCUGGGGAUCUUCAUUUUCUUCAGGUACUUGUUUAACUCCCUUAGAUCUAAAAUAGCUCUGAGACCCCCUUUUGUUUUGGGGAUAAGGAGAUAGCAGAAAUAAAAAUGGUUCCCACUGAGAAAUUGAGCAACUUCCUCUAUUGCACCCACUGGAAGGGGAGAUUAAUCCUGCUGUAAAAUGGUCUUGUGAGAGUGAUCCUUGAAGAAGGAUGGAGAAGCGGGGGACAGAAACAAACUGAAGUAAAUAUCCCACAUCCAUCAUGCUUAGGACCCACCGAACCAAUGUGACAUGAGUCUAAGCACAGAGGAAGCAGGAAAGACAAUAGGCAAAGGUAAGGGUAGGAACAGAUUCGUCUAAGUAUUGACAAGCCUGUCAGAAAUGCAUGUUUAGACUGGACCAUUGAUUGAGAGGCAUCUGCUGUUGCAGAUUGAGAGAGGUGGUGGACAUUUUAUGUAAUUCCUGUCCUUUUUUUUUUUGGCAGGUCUUGGGCCUGAGGUAUAAAGCUCUGAUAUCUGUGAGCCUUCUGGGGCCAGAAUUGCUUCCUCUUCAUUGCCAGUGUGUAAAUUCCAAGGGACUUCAGUAUUGCCCUGGAAUCUUGUAAGCUAUGCCACCUAUUGUCCAUCUUUUCUGAAAAGAGGGAUGGACCCCCAAAUGGCAAAUCCUAGAUGGUCUCCUGUACUUCAGGAGGGAGACCAGAAGAUUGCAGUCAUGAACUUCAUAGAAAUAGCAGAUGUCAUGGAACAAGCUACUGAGUCUGCCGCAUCCUAACUGUCUUGUACAGCUAUCCUUGCACCCCCACUUACCCUCCUCUAUCCUGAGCAAGCACCUGCCUGGAAUCCUCUGGUAGCGUGUCUUUAAACUUCAGGAUGUUUUCUCAUAGGGUAAAAUCAUAGCAAUUUAGGAGGGCUUGCCGGUUAACAAUUCUUGGCUGCAGAGUGUCUGUUGAAUAAGUUUAUGACCAAACAGGUCCAGCCUUUCUGAUUCCUUACUCUUCAGCGUCAAUGCUUGGUGACCCUCAUUCUCCUGCUCAUGAGCUGCUGCCACCACCAAAGGGCCUGGGGGUGCGUGAGAGUAGAGGGGUUUGAAGCCCUUAGAAGGGACACAGUAGCUCCUCUGUGCCUAUUUUGCUGUAGGCGGGAGAGAAGAAGGGGUCUGUCAAAGUGUUUUAACCAGUUCUAGAAUUGCUUCAUUAGCUCGGAAGUACCACUCUGGCUGGUCUCAUAGAAGCUAAAGUAUUCACUAGCAUGGGGGAUUUCUCAUGGACCAAUUCCACUUGAAUGUCUAAAACUGAGGCCACCUUUUUAAGCAGUUCUUGGUGAGCACUGUUAUCCUCUGGUGAUGGAGAAUCACUCGCCAUCUCUACAGCCUCAUCUGGUGAUAAGGAAAAUGACACACCAGGAUGCUGAGGCAAUGGCUGGUUUGCCACUUGCACUGCAGGAACAGUCUGAGCAAUUUCCAGUUGCUCAGUUCCAGGCAUCGGAGAACGUUGUCUGUGAUGCCAAUGAUCUUGAUGUAUCCUUGGGGGAAUAGACUCAGACAGGUGAGGAAAAGUCCUAGCAGGGGCAGGGACACCCCUCGGUGGACAGACCUGGUGACUGGUCCCAUGGUUGUGCAUGCCCUUGUCCCUGUGACAUGUUCACUGCUGGGACAUCCGGGGCUCUGAUGGAAGGUAAGGUUCUUGCUUGUAUGAGACACAAAAGACUCCACUUCUGAAUCCAACAAAGAUGACGGAAUCCUGUGGUAACCGAGGAGCAGAAGCCAUGUGGAUAGGAGACAGAUAAGUGAACCCAGAGGCAGCAGUGGGAGGGAUAUUAACAGCAGCUUGCCCCUGGAGUGGACUGGCCUCCUACGCUCCAGGAGCAGCAUUGGUAACGCAUGCUCUUGCGGAGCUGGCAUAGGCACUACAGACACUGUACUGGCUGGAACCCUUCCUGCAUCACCAGGAACACUGGUAUUGAGAGGUUAAGUAAUUCUCUGGCGACAGCAUAUGCUUCUGGCAUUGCUGGUAUCAGGAUUGGGUCUUGGGUCUGACAGAUAGGGGCUAGCUUUGGCAGACACGGCACAGGUUUUGGAGUAGAUGCACCCCCUAUUGCAGCAGAGGCAUACUGUGGGGAACGCUCCCCCUCAGAAUCCCUCCCAGACAUCUUGCUUUCAUCCUGCCUUGGUUAUGAAGAUCUUGCUGGACAAGGUACCGUGUCCUUGGCAGAUCUGUCUCCUCUUCAUUAUCAGAGACAGAGAAUGUGGUGCUAAAGAUAUCUCAGGAAGCACAUGCUGCAUCAAUAGUGCUGCACUUGGAGUGCACUCUGAACCCAACGGCUCCCAGGGAGGGCAAAAUACCACCUCCAUAAGGAAACAAAUUUCAUUGUUCUGUCUCUUUUUGAGCAAGCCUUAAAUCAUCUGCAAAUGUGACCUUUGUCACUUGAUGUAGGACUCCCCCAGACAUCUUAGGCAGCUGGGAUGUGGGUCAUCGACCAGCAUCGUUCUGGCACAUGACCAGCAGGACUUGAACCCCAGAGAGCGAGAAAUGGCUCCAGUCCCAGUAUCAAGUAAUCAAACUUGGUCCAAAAGGGACCCAAACAAGUAAAACCUAAUAUUAAUGCUAUGCUAUAUCUAAUUAACUAUUAAGUACUAAAUGAGAAAACAAGCUAUAUACAAAGAGAGAGGAAAAUAAACUUGCCAUCGCAAUACUGGAUGGAAGCGUUCCAACAACAAUCACUGGCGAUAAGAAGGAACUGAGGGAGGUCGGGGCGGCUCCACUCUCUUAUACUGGCACACCGUGGUGCACAGAUGUAGUAGGCACUUGAGCUGUCCCAACAGGUACAAUUGAGGGGAAAAGUUCUCCAAUAACUGCAUGAGGCACACACUCACAUACAUUGAAUGGACAUGUGCAAUCACUCGAACCCCUUUGUUGUAUGCAGAGUGGCACAAGGUUGCUUAAUUAAACAAAGAUUUUAAUGGGAUUUACUCAUGUUAGCACUGGUAAGUCACUGUUCAGUGCCCAUCCAUCUAGAUUCUUGUACUGUGCCCAUCACCAUAGUAUCCAAACUUUAUAUGGUGAUUAGGCAUUUAUAAGAUGCCUCUAAAAACAUUGUCAUAGAUAUCUGACUCUUGAAUGAGCUGAAUUCUAGUUGAGGUGAAGAGUCAUCAACACAAUAGUUAAAAAUACUGCAACUGAAAUUUGAUUAUGGUUGAUGAUGCACAUGCCAAAAAGAACUAGGGUGACUAGACAGCAAAUGUGAAAAAUCGGGGCUGGGGGUAAUUGGAGCCUACAUUUAAAAAAAAGACCCAAAAAUCAGGACUGUCCCUAUAAAAUCGGGACAUCUGGUCACCCUAAUAAGAACUCAGCUGACUUCCACAUCCCACUGCAGUCUGUAGUGCUAGCAUCUGCUUAGUUUACAAGCUGGAUUUCAUUUUUCAGGCUCACUGUUUAUAGAUAUAUGCUCAGAUAGUACGUGCCUUAUACGAGGCUAGCUAGGUAGGCAUGACAGAAUCAUGAAAUCCCAUGAAGCUAUAUUUAUGGUCACUUUUCAGACUAUAGCCACAAGUUAAGUAAAUACCAUUUUAAUUUAAUACACCUUGAACAAUUGACUUGUAUGUAAUUUUCACACUUAGAAAUUCAAAUGAAAGACUCAUUUCUUUUGAUGGCAUUUUACCCCUUCUUGGUACAUGUACUGCAUUAUUUUUAUUUAUACAAUGCCAAAAAGCACGCUUUGCAUCUAGACAUUUCUUGGUGUGUGCAGUUGUUACCAGAAGGGUGAUUACAUAUUUGAUCUCUAGGUUGACAUUUUCUGAUUCUAUGACCAACUCAGACACAUAUAGGAUCCUUUCACUUCCCUCCAAUAAAUAAUGGAAAGGGACAUCCCUACCUCUCAAUCUUCAAAUUUACCAAUACAUGACAAAUGACCAGCAGGUGGAACACCUGAGUUCUGUUGCACUCUAAUUGACAGAGCAUAAUGGUUUCUAACUGUAAAAUGACAGGUUUCAGAAUAGUAGUCGUGUUAGUCUGUAUUCGCAAAAGGAAAAGGAGUAUUUGUGGCACCUUAGAGACUAACAAAUUUAUUUGAGCAUAAGCUUUCGUGAGCUACAGCUCACUUCCUCGGAUACAUUCAGAUGAAGUGAGCUCUAGCUCACGAAAACUUAUGCUCAAAUAAUUUUGUUAGUCUCUAAGGUGCCACAAGUCCUCCUUUUCUUUUAACUGUAAAACCUACUUCUAAAAGGAUGUUUCUCCCUGCGUCAACUAAACCAGCUUUGCCCUCCGUAACUAGCUUCCCCUGGGGGAUGGUGUGGGGAGGUGGGAAAUAGUCCAUACUCAUGCAAUCUGCCAACUUCAAUUAAUCCUGCUGCUGCUUCCCUCUUCCCCAGGUUUAACUAGUUUAGGCCAACCCUAAUAGGACUCCACGGCCUUACCUGCCCUUCUGGAACCUAAAAGGCUUUCACUAGGAGCAGCAGCAGCUUCUCUUCUCUUUCCCUCCAAUAAGCCAUUGUUUGAAGGAUGCAAAAUGUGCCAGCCUAUGAGGAGUGCAGCUGCUCAAGGCCUGCUCUCCUCCUUCCUCUCUCCUGCGAUAAAUGUGAUGGUCUUAGCUACUCUCCCAUCCCCAAGAGGCAUCUGCUCCUGAGCAGCUCAGCUUCCUUCCUCCAAAGUCUCUCUCUUUUGCUUUUAAGGAGGGAAGAGGAAGAGAGGAGUAAGGGAAGAGUCUCUCCUCCCUUCCUCACCCCCACCAAGCAACUAAUUCUUGUCUGCAGAAGACAGCCUUAAUUGAGGGACAAAGCCUGAAUCAGUAGCAGUGCAGAAUGCACCCCAAACUAUAGAGGGUUUGAGAACUCUAGGGAUAUCCUUUCUCAGUAGAGACUCCUACCCUAGAGAGCCUCCCAGGAAUAAGUUGUUAAUGCAUGGAAUGUUUACUAAUUUGCAUGUGAAAGGAAGUGAUGUGAAAGCCCUUUUUAGUUGCAAUAUGAUUUCUAAUUAAAGUGAUUGUGAGCAGCUUA